rnacentral:rRNA from 1 species
GACCCAGCAACGCCGCGUGGAGGAAGAAGGUUUUCGGAUCGUAAACUCCUGUCCUUGGAGACGAGUAGAAGACGGUAUCCAAGGAGGAAGCCCCGGCUAACUACGUGCCAGCAGCCGCGGUAAUACGUAGGGGGCAAGCGUUGUCCGGAAUAAUUGGGCGUAAAGGGCGCGUAGGCGGCUCGGUAAGUCUGGAGUGAAAGUCCUGCUUUUAAGGUGGGAAUUGCUUUGGAUACUGUCGGGCUUGAGUGCAGGAGAGGUUAGUGGAAUUCCCAGUGUAGCGGUGAAAUGCGUAGAGAUUGGGAGGAACACCAGUGGCGAAGGCGACUAACUGGACUGUAACUGACGCUGAGGCGCGAAAGUGUGGGGAGCAAACAGGAUUAGAUACCCUGGUAGUCCACACUGUAAACGAUGAAUGCUAGGUGUAGGGGGUAUCGACCCCUUCUGUGCCGCAGUCAACACAAUAAGCAUUCCGCCUGGGGAGUACGGCCGCAAGGUUGAAACUCAAAGGAAUUGACGGGGGCCCGCACAAGCAGCGGAGCAUGUGGUUUAAUUCGACGCAACGCGAAGAACCUUACCAGGUCUUGACAUCCACUUAAACUUACAGAGAUGUAAGGUGUGCUUGCACAAAGUGAGACAGGUGGUGCAUGGUUGUCGUCAGCUCGUGUCGUGAGAUGUUGGGUUAAGUCCCGCAACGAGCGCAACCCUUAUCUUCAGUUACUAACGCGUAGAGGUGAGGACUCUGAAGAGACUGCCGGGGACAACUCGGAGGAAGGUGGGGACGACGUCAAAUCAUCAUGCCCCUUAUGACCUGGGCUACACACGUGCUACAAUGGCCACGACAGAGAGAAGCGAAAUCGCAAGGUAGAGCGGAACUCAAAAAAGUGGUCCCAGUUCGGAUUGUGGGCUGCAACCCGCCCACAUGAAGUCGGAGUUGCUAGUAAUCGCGGAUCAGCAUGCCGCGGUGAAUACGUUCCCGGGCCUUGUACACACCGCCCGUCACACCAUGGGAGUUGGGAGUGCCCAAAGCCGGUGAGGCAACCGCAAGGAGCCAGCCGUCUAAGGCAAGACCAAUGACUGGGGUGAAGUCGUAACAAGGUAGCCGUAUCGGAAGGUGCGGCUG